CCUACGGGUGGCAGCAGUCGAGAAUCAUUCACAAUGGGGGAAACCCUGAUGGUGCGACGCCGCGUGGGGGAAUGAAGGUCUUCGGAUUGUAAACCCCUGUCAUGUGGGAGCAAAUUAAAAAGAUAGUACCACAAGAGGAAGAGACGGCUAACUCUGUGCCAGCAGCCGCGGUAAUACAGAGGUCUCAAGAGUUGUUCGGAAUCACUGGGCGUAAAGCGUGCGUAGGCUGUUUCGUAAGUCGUGUGUGAAAGGCGCGGGCUCAACCCGCGGACGGCACAUGAUACUGCGAGACUAGAGUGAUGGAGGGGGAACCGGAAUUCUCGGUGUAGCAGUGAAAUGCGUAGAUAUCGAGAGGAACACUCGUGGCGAAGGCGGGUUCCUGGACAUUAACUGACGCUGAGGCACGAAGGCCAGGGGAGCGAAAGGGAUUAGAUACCCGAGUAGUC
rnacentral:rRNA from 1 species